rnacentral:rRNA from 1 species
AGCUCCAAUAGCGUAUAUUAAAGUUGUUGCAGUUAAAAAGCUCGUAGUCGGAACUCGGGCUGGGGGUCUGUGCCCAGCACUGCUGCGUGUGCAGGGCCCCGGUCUUCCUUCUGGCUUUGCGCGGGGAUCCUUGAUUGGGUUGCUGCGUGGAGGUCAGGACGUUUACUGUGAAAAAAUUAGAGUGUUUAAAGCAGGCGAUUGCUGUGAAUACAUUAGCAUGGAAUAAUAGAAUAGGACUUGGGUUCUAUUUUGUUGGUUUUUAGGACCGAAGUAAUGAUUAAUAGGGACAGUUGGGGGCAUUCGUAUUUCAUUGUCAGAGGUGAAAUUCUUGGAUUUAUGAAAGACGAACCGCUGCGAAAGCGUCUGCCAAGGAUGUUUUCAUUGAUCAAGAACGAAAGUA